AUCCAACUGACGAGUUCCGAAUAGAACGAAGUGACACGCGUCAAACUGGAU
rnacentral:hammerhead_ribozyme from 1 species